UACGAAGGGGGCUAGCGUUGCUCGGAAUUACUGGGCGUAAAGGGCGCGUAGGCGGGUCGUUAAGUUAGAGGUGAAAGCCCAGGGCUCAACCCUGGAAUUGCCUUUAAUACUGGCGGCCUUGAGUAUGGCAGAGGUGUGUGGAACUCCGAGUGUAGAGGUGAAAUUCGUAGAUAUUCGGAAGAACACCAGUGGCGAAGGCGACACACUGGGCCAUUACUGACGCUGAGGCACGAAAGCUAGGGGAGCAAACAGG
rnacentral:rRNA from 1 species